AUGCCGCGGAUGUCGUUCAAACUUGCUUCAAGAGGAAAACACCCACUAUCGUUCUUAAACUUGACUUUCACAAAGCCUUUUGACUCCAUCCCCUGGGACGCCUUGACUACUAUUUUGCGUGCCAAAGGCUUCCCCUUGCAAUGGGACAACUGGAUCAGAUCUCUGAAUGAAUCUACCAACUCCGCUAUUUUGCUUAACGGACGCCCCGGCCCGUGGUUCCCCUGCCGUUGUGGUCUGCGACAAGGGGACUCCCUCUCCCCCUACCUCUUUCUGAUUGUCGCCGACGUUCUUCAGCGUAUGAUCUUACAUGCUUCUCAAUCUGGCAUGCUCUCGCACCCCCUAGACGAUAACCUCCCUUGCCCGGUGCUGCAGUACGCCGACGACACGCUGAUUGUGCUGCUGGCGGUCGCUGCGCAGCUGCAUCAUCUCAAGCAGCUUCUUAUGCAAUUCUCCGCGGCCACUGGGCUCUCGAUUAAUUUCCACAAAAGUACGUUCGCUCCAAUCCAUGUUGACUCGGACACCUCCCAUUAUCUUGCUACGAUCCUCGGUUGCAACGUGGCCAGCUUCCCUCAGUCCUACCUAGGGCUACCUCUAUCCACCUCUAAACUGAACGUUUCAGCCUUCUCCUUUCUGAUUGACAAAAUCGACCACAGGUUGGCAGGUUGGCGGGGACUUUUGCUUUCCCUUGCAGGUCGGGCUAUUCUUGUUCGCGCGGCUCUUCGGGCCCUUCCUAUAUAUGCUAUGAGUGCGCUGCUGCUGCCCAUCGGAACGCUUCAACAAAUUGACAAACGCUGCAGGGCCUUCUUCUGGUCAGGGCAGGAUAAAACUACGGGAGGGCAAUGCAAAGUGGCUUGGGACCUUGUGUGCGCUCCUUUCGUGAACGGGGGUCUAGGCUUCUCCUUGCUCAAACACAUGAAUGUCUGUCUUCUUCUUCAUCACCUGUCAAAACUGCAUGACUCUGGCGCUGCCCCAGCCCCGUCCUACCUAGUUACCAAAUAUGGCUGGUCUCCUACCCACGACCUGGGCGUUGGGGAUUCAGCUGGGUCGCCAGUCUGGCGCGAUAUCUUUAAACACCUUGACUUCUUCCGAUCCAUUACGUCGGUUAAACUCGGGAAUGGGGCCACCACCUCGUUCUGGAAUGAUCUUUGGCUCCCAAACAACCAAACUACUCUUGCACCUCAGUUUGCUGCUCUCUACACUCACUCCAAUAGGCAGUCGGCCUCAGUUGCUAGAGUGCUGGAUUCGCCAGAUCUGAACCUCGACCUUGCUCCUCGAUUAUCCCUUGUAGCUGAGAAUGAAUUGGUUGCUUUGCGUAAUAUUAUGGCUUCAAUUAACUUGGAUUCACAGGUGCACGACACCAGGGUCUGCAGGCGAGAGGGCAAGGCCCUUACCACCAGUUUGGCUUAUAAUGCAAUAUGGCACGAGCAUCCGCCGGACCCGAUGGCGGCUGCUAUCUGGAAAAAUUAUGCGCCAAACAAGUGUCGCAUCUUCAUGUGGUUGGCUCACAAAGAUCGAGUAUACACCAAUGAGCGUAGGUUGCGUCGCUCAAUCGCUUCCUUUGAUGCCUGCCCGUUCUGCGGCACCUGCGAGGAUAUCACUCACCUCCUUCUCCGCUGCUCUACUCUUCGGCCGCUCUGGGACGAGCUCCACACCCUUUAUAGGGGGUCGCCGCGCAACGUCGCGGAUAUCUGGCAUCAGGCCCCGCGGGACAAAGUGAGUAAGGUGAAUGAGGCGAACUAUGAGGACCUUAUUGAGGAGAAGAGCAAAGAGCUGACUCGUGUCGUAGGUGAACUGAAGAAGGAAUUUAAAGAACUCGAGUUGGUGUUGGAAAAAAAUGAUGCCCGUGCCAGGAGGUAA
rnacentral:rRNA from 1 species